CGCCACAGGGUCGCCGACGCUGCUUCGAGCCGCCGCCGCUGCUUCGAACCACCGCUCCAGCCCCUGCUUCGUUUAAUCAUUUCAUCAUCUCAGGGGAUUGGUAAUCAUUUUACAUGGUCUGAAUGAGCACAGUGGAAGGUAUAAUGAUUUUGCCAAGAAGCUGAAUUCAAAUGGCUUCAAAGUUUAUGGAAUGGAUUGGAUUGGUAAGUACAAACAAUUGAUGAAUAGUCUAAAGCACACUUUUUAUAUUAUUUAUUUCCCUUCUCUCUAUUUUUAAUUGCACGUUUUGAGUAAUCAAAGUUCGAACUUCAUUUUGUAACAGUCUGGCUAUUAUUAUUUUUUUCAUCUUCUAUUAACACCUUGCUCUGUGCUAUGUUUCCUCACCUGACAACUUUGAAUGCACAUCUAAAUUUUAGCUUUAUUAGCAUUUUCAUGUGUUUUAAAUAAGCUACAUAGGAAACAUAAGUGCAUACUGCAGCUUUGACUCUAUAUGCUU